rnacentral:rRNA from 1 species
AUUGAACGCUGGCGGCAGGCUUAACACAUGCAAGUCGAGCGGAGAUGAGGUGCUUGCACCUUAUCUUAGCGGCGGACGGGUGAGUAAUGCUUAGGAAUCUGCCUAUUAGUGGGGGACAACAUUCCGAAAGGAAUGCUAAUACCGCAUACGCCCUACGGGGGAAAGCAGGGGAUCUUCGGACCUUGCGCUAAUAGAUGAGCCUAAGGCGGAUUAGCUAGUUGGUGGGGUAAAGGCCUACCAAGGCGACGAUCUGUAGCGGGUCUGAGAGGAUGAUCCGCCACACUGGGACUGAGACACGGCCCAGACUCCUACGGGAGGCAGCAGUGGGGAAUAUUGGACAAUGGGCGGAAGCCUGAUCCAGCCAUGCCGCGUGUGUGAAGAAGGCCUUUUGGUUGUAAAGCACUUUAAGCGAGGAGGAGGCUACCUGGAUUAAUACUCUAGGAUAGUGGACGUUACUCGCAGAAUAAGCACCGGCUAACUCUGUGCCAGCCGCCGCGGUAAGAC